AUUGAACGCUGGCGGCAGGCCUAACACAUGCAAGUCGAGCGAGCGGCGGACGGGUGAGUAAUGUAUGGGGACUGCCCGAUAGAGGGGGAUAACUACUGGAAACGGUAGCUAAUACCGCAUACUAUCGGAUAACCCAUAUGGGAUUAGCUAGUAGGUGAGGUAAUGGCUCACCUAGGCGACGAUCCCUAGCUGGUCUGAGAGGAUGAUCAGCCACACUGGGACUGAGAAACGGCCCAGACUCCUACGGAGGGAGCAUUGGGGAAUAUUGCACAAUGGGCGCAAGCCUGAUGCAGCCAUGCCGCGUGUAUGAUGAAGGCCUUAGGGUUGUAAAGUACUUUUGGCAGAGAAGCGGUAUCUACAGAAUAAGCACCGGCUAACUACGUGCCAGCAGCCGCGGUAAUAC
rnacentral:rRNA from 1 species